ensembl:snRNA Gm23032 U6 spliceosomal RNA
GAGCUCAUUUCUUCAGCACAGAUUCUGAAAUUGUAACUAUACAGAUAAGAUCAGAGCGGUUCCCGAUCAAAGAUGGUCUGCAAAUUUGUGAAGCAUUCUAUAUUUUA